rnacentral:lncRNA from 1 species
GGGGAUCAUGGCAUGGCGGCGGCGGUGGUGUUGCACAUGCAUUCGGGGAUGGGGUAGGCGGUGACGUCCUUUCCGAUCUUGUCAGUUCUGAGCUCCGGCUGACCCAGGGAGGCGUUGUGGAGCUCCCUGAUGAUCUGGACGAAGUCUGCUUCGGGGAGGGAGGCGUUGAGGAAGUGGGGCACCAUCUGCCGCUUGUUCGGGGUGAUGAACUUCCUGUGCCCUGCGAAGGCUCUGUGCCCCUGCGCAGAGAUCGUCGGAGAUUGUCGGAGGAGGAAGAAGGAGAAGGAAGAUGGAGAUUUGGAGGAGCUUCGCUUCCUGUACCUUCAGGAUGCGGCCCAUGUUCCCGCCGUGGGAGGGCAUGAAGACGUCGCUCUUCUCGGAGAUGAUGAAGUCGACGGCGGCGAGGAUGGAGGACCUGUUGGCAAACGGGUCCAGUUCCCCCGGCGAGGAGAGAUUGUACUUGUUGUACAGAUGGGGGAACUCCUCCAUCAGGGGGAGAAGGGCGGCGGCGCCGCCGAAGGGCUCCCCACCGGCCCAGAAUAUGUUGGCUCCCCGCGGAGCCCCGAGGGCUUUGAGCAACCUCGUGACUUCCGACAUGGUCAACGGGCAGAGGCCGGCGGCCUUGCGCUCUUGGUACCUCAUCUUCGUCUUCCCGGUGAGCAGCUCCGGCCGGCUCUCCCUCUCCCUGCUGAUGACCUCGUCGUGCUCCGGGCUCAGCCCCGGCAAGCAACCGGUCCUCACCCAGACGUCCUUCUCCAUCCGCAGGUGCAGAGCGAUGUACGGCCCUUUGCUCCUCAUCCUCGUGGCCAACCUGUUGCCCAGUUCCCGGACGGGAGCUGAGAAUCUCAGGGCGUCGAAUGCCACCUAGGAAAAAAGAAAGAAGCAAGUCAACGACCCUUCAGAAGUCAUAGAGAGAGAGAGGAGGUAGAGAGAGAGAGAGAGAGAGAGAGAGAGGAGGGUGAGACCUUGCAGCGGAGCUUCUGGAGGUCAGAAGGUAGGUCCUUGGAGAGCCUGGAGUCGAAGCCACGGAGGACGAGGACGCCCUCGCGGGUGAGGCGUUUGAGGUAUUUGGAGCGGAUCCAGCGGUCGGAGACGCGCGGCGGCGUUGGGAGCUGCUCCACCGGCCGCCGCGUCAGGUGGGUGGUGGGCAGCGACGACACCACCCUCACGUCGUCCGCCAGGACGCGCUUGAAGUGCUCCAGGUCGAAGAUGUCCGCGAACUCGCUGCCAUCGCCAAACAAACCAAGAAACAACAAGAACCCGGUUAAUUUCGCCUUCUCGAUCGAGAACUGUUCGCCAUGAUCACGGGUUCUCAUGGCAGAGGGCGGCGAGCUCGACCAGGAAUCACGGGCGGGACGAAACCCCGGAAAGGAGACAGAUUUUUGCGAUUCAAAUUUCCGGGGAACCAGACGAGCCCCACCCUGUCGGCGGAAAUCGGCGGCGAUCGAGCUCGUCUACUCCUGAGAGGAAGAGAAAUCCGGAGGCGAGCGGGGGCCUCGGAUUCCAUGGGCGACGGACGCCAGAGCUCAACCAGAGCCGUACCCAGCUGUCACCUCGGGGCCCCCCCUUCCUUCUCCGCCAGCAUACAACCAUCUGAUUCCAGCCGGGUCCUGUCCAUAUUCCUGGUCCUCCAUGUCGCCGGAACCAGAGUUUUCGACCGGGAAGACGGAGAUGAAGACGAGGACGAAGACGAAGACGAGGACGAAGACGAAGACGAAGACGAAGAUGAGGACCAGUGGGUGGAGGUCGAGGAUCACCUUUCGUCUCCCCAGACGAUGUUGACCUGAAGAACAGGGGCGACGAGGGCGGCGCCGAGAAUCCGAGCGAUCACCACGGCGUCGACGAUCUGGUUCCGCUGCUGGUUCAGGCCUCCGGAGACGCCCACCACGAGGUACUUAUUCCGGUCCCUCUUGAUCUCCGCAGACGCCCGCCGGUACCCCUUGCUGAAAUCCAAGCACGGCCGGUACCCCAUCCCGUCCGGCUGCUCCCAGAACUCCCCACCUCCUCCGUCGCCGCCGCCGGCGGGCGUCGCCGCCGGCUGAGAGUCGCCGGCCGUCGACAAGAACAGGGGAGGCGCAUCUGGGCGAGGAGUGGCGCAGGGGAUGGAGGCUACGGGGACGAGGGGGUCGAGUUGGAUGCUGACUUUUAGCAUCCCCACGAAUGCGAACAGGCAGAGGAAGACGAGGAACCCCGGGUUUCUGGCGGCGGCGAGCAAGCGGCUGCGCGGCCUCGCGCCCUUCUUCGGCGAGAGGAGGAGCCCCUGCAAGGACG